rnacentral:rRNA from 1 species
CCGGCUACUCGCGAUAUGCUCUAGAUUUUAAAACGUUUGGAUCAUGGCUCAGANUUGAGACGCUUGGCUGUGCCANGCCUAAUCACANUGCAAGUCGAACGGUAGUCACAGCAGAGCUUUGCUCUCGGGUGACGAGUUGGCGGACGGGUGAAGUAAUGUCUUGGGAAACUUGCCCGAUUGGAGGGGGAUAACUACUGGAAACGGUAGCUAAUACCGCCUAACGUCGCAAGACCAAAGAGGGGGACCUUCGGGCCUCUUGCCAUCGGAUGUGCCCAGAUUGGGAUUAGCUUGUAACGGUGACGGGUAACGCGCUCACCUAAGGCCGACCGGAAUUCCCUAAGCCUGGGCUCUUGAGGAGGGAAUGGAACCCAAGGCCAACAACUUGGGAAACCUUGAAGGAACCACCGGGUCCCCAGAACUUCCCUUACGGGGGGAGGCCCAGGCCCAGGUGGGGGGAAUAUUUCUUUUUGNCCGACGCCCACAUUGGCGGGCCGCCCAAAANGGCCCCUU